GGAGCUCCGACGGGGGCGUGCUGGGAACACACGUGAUGGAUUGAUGUUGUUUUUUUGGUUGGGAUGCUCGUGUGUUCUCAGGUCGCCCCUGUUGGGAUUCU
rnacentral:pre_miRNA from 1 species